rnacentral:rRNA from 3 species
UGGAAGUAAAAGUCGUAACAAGGUCUCCGUUGGUGAACCAGCGGAGGGAUCAUUAUAGAGUUUUCUAAACUCCCAACCCAUGUGAACUUACCUUUUGUUGCCUCGGCAGAAGUUAUAGGUCUUCUUAUAGCUGCUGCCGGUGGACCAUUAAACUCUUGUUAUUUUAUGUAAUCUGAGCGUCUUAUUUUAAUAAGUCAAAACUUUCAACAACGGAUCUCUUGGUUCUGGCAUCGAUGAAGAACGCAGCGAAAUGCGAUAAGUAAUGUGAAUUGCAGAAUUCAGUGAAUCAUCGAAUCUUUGAACGCACAUUGCGCCCAUUAGUAUUCUAGUGGGCAUGCCUGUUCGAGCGUCAUUUCAACCCUUAAGCCUAGCUUAGUGUUGGGAAUCUACUUCUCUUAGGAGUUGUAGUUCCUGAAAUACAACGGCGGAUUUGUAGUAUCCUCUGAGCGUAGUAAUUUUUUUCUCGCUUUUGUUAGGUGCUAUAACUCCCAGCCGCUAAACCCCCAAUUUUUUGUGGUUGACCUCGGAUCAGGUAGGAAUACCCGCUGAACUUAAGCAUAUCAAUAAGCGGAGG